UACAGAGGGUGCAAACGUUGCUCGGAAUCAUUGGGCGUAAAGCGCACGUAGGCGGCCUAGCAAGUAGGGAGUGAAAGCCCUCGGCUUAACCGAGGAAGUGCUUUCUAAACUACUAGGCUUGAAUACUGGAGAGGGUCGCGGAAUUCCCGGUGUAGAGGUGAAAUUCGUAGAUAUCGGGAGGAAUACCGGUGGCGAAGGCGGCAUCCUGGACCGGCAUUGACGCUGAGGAGCGAAAGCUAGGGGAGCAAACGGG
rnacentral:rRNA from 1 species